AAGCCGGGUUACGGUGCCCAACUGCGCGCUAACCUAGAACCCACAAAGGGCGUUGGUCGAUUAAGACAGCAGGAUGGUGGUCAUGGAAGUCAAAAUCCGCCAAGGAGUGUGUAACAACUCACUUGCCGAAUCAACUAGCCCCGAAAAUGGAUGGCGCUUAAGCGUGCGACCUAUACCCGGCCGUCGGGGCAAGUUCCAGGCCCCGAUG
rnacentral:ncRNA from 1 species